rnacentral:rRNA from 2 species
CAAGCGGUGGAGCAUGUGGUUUAAUUCGAUACUACGCGCAAAACCUUACCAGCCCUUGACAUAUGAACAACAAAACCUGUCCUUAACAGGAUGGUACUGACUUUCAUACAGGUGCUGCAUGGCUGUCGUCAGCUCGUGUCGUGAGAUGUUUGGUCAAGUCCUAUAACGAGCGAAACCCUCGUUUUGUGUUGCUGAGACAUGCGCCUAAGGAGAAAUUGCCACCGAAGUGAGCCGAGGAGCCGAGUGACGUGCCAGCGCUACUACUUGAUUGAGUGCCAGCACGUAGCUGUGCUUUCAGCAAGAAUUUCACCAUUGGGAGCCGGUGCCUUUCGAAGCACUUUCACGUGUGAACCGAAGUCGUCUUGCCCAAGACCCACGGAGACCUACCUAUAGUGACGUCAAAGUACCAGUGAGCAUGGAGGUUUGGUUGAAAUUGGUUACGACGACGUCGAGUUGGCGGCGGAGGAAGACUCGGCAUGAAGGCCAGCCGCCCGGUGGUGUGGUACGUAGUGGUAAUAGUACGCGCCCCGCUCCGAAACAAAGAAAAAGGUGCGUGCCGCACUCACGAGGGACUGCCAGUGAGAUACUGGAGGAAGGUGGGGAUGACGUCAAGUCCGCAUGGCCCUUAUGGGCUGGGCCACACACGUGCUACAAUGGCAAUGACAAUGGGAAGCAAGGCUGUAAGGCGGAGCGAAUCCGGAAAGAUUGCCUCAGUUCGGAUUGUUCUCUGCAACUCGGGAACAUGAAGUUGAAAUCGCUAGUAAUCGCGGAUCAGCAUGCCGCGGUGAAUAUGUACCCGGGCCCUGUACACACCGCCCGUCACACCCUGGGAAUUGGUUUCGCCCGAAGCAUCGGACCAAUGAUCACCCAUGACUUCUGUGUACCACUAGUGCCACAAAGGCCUUUGGUGGUCUUAUUGGCGCAUACCACGGUGGGGUCUUCGACUGGGGUGAAGUCGUAACAAGGUAGCCGUAGGGGAACCUGUGGCUG